CAAACGAAGCCUAAAUCUCCAUUCAUUCAAUUUCUUGAUAUGCCUGAUUCGUGAGAAAGAGCUAGACUUCAUAUUUGAGACAAAGUUAACAGCAAAUAGUGGGCAAUCUGGAAGUUAAUGGCUGUUGCUUCUUCUUCCGCUUCUCCUCAAGAAAAGCAUGAUAUUAUUUAUCUUGGUUUCAAAGCCUUUGUUGCACUAUGUGUAAAAUUUUAAGACUUUUGGGUGUGACUAGUAGUUCCGUAGACCACAGUGGACUGGAGAGAAAUUUGUUGAUGCGGCAUUUCAGUAUUAUUACUAAAAGACAAAAAGAUUCUCAAAAUCACGGGCGGUUUGUUGCGUUAUCUUAAAUCAUUCUACAAUACUACUA